rnacentral:lncRNA from 1 species
CAGGCCCAGCAAGAACAAAAGACAACCUGCCUUGUUCUCUAAAAAUUUUCCUCCCUUUGAGAAAGAAAUGGGGACAUUUUGGUAAUCAAAUGCCAAGACAACUACCUGCCACGUGAAAAGAAAAGCUAAUUAGCAAUGGUGACAGAUCCCUCUGACCACCUUUGCAAAAAGCCAGCCAAUGGAAGCUACGAUUUUGGAAAAGAAAAGCAUGGAGGAGUCCCGGCCCCAAGGAGAGGAGCAUUUGCAGAAAUAAUGGCCAUUUGUUGUUUGGAUCCUUCUUUCCCUCUAGUUUUCCUAUCUUCCAAUCUCUUAGCUUUGGAGAAAGAGAGAGAGGAUCGCAUGCACAUGCGCAUGUCGGUCGUGGACACAGCUACCAGACCUUGCUUUCCAGGCAAGCUAACAGACUUGUUCCAAACAUUGAAAUCCGACCACUGUCCAUGUGAUAUAUAUGGACAGCUUUGAAAUAUUAGAAUCCAGC